ensembl:lncRNA
AAGCUAUUGACAUGUCAAAGCCCACCACAUGGACAUAAAAAAAGAGUAACAGAGUUGGUGAAACUCAAGAUGGAAAAGACUUUUUCAUACAGAAGACAUGAAGUUGUUCGUGAUGCACCAAUGGUGGAGGCUUUCAUGGCAAGAUGGCCUGCUCUAAUUGAUUUCCAUGAGAUCAACGCUGAGUUUAAGAGAAUUGCCACCAUCCCCCCUCAGACAAAGUUCGUGGCUCAGCUGGCUCUCCACUUGGACAACCUGGUGAAGUUGGUCAACAGAAGAUGAGAGCUUGGACUAAUACUGAAAAUAAUUGUGGCAUAAAUGGAUAAUUGUGAAGAUGUUGAUGCUGAGUGUGUAUCUACAUGGGUGAAGACGCUGGCUUAUCCAGGAGUAUGUGGGCAUGGAAGAACGUGCCAUCAGUGAGAUUGUUGAAGACACCACUGUUUGAAUUUAUCUUCUUAAAGAGCAAGCUUCAGCAGAUAAACAAGAGUUGUCCUUUCAGGCAUCAGGGUGGCGAAGAAUUUGGAUAAUGUAGCAUUUGCUGUGAUAAUGCUAUUUGGACUCAUGUAUGCAUUAAACCUUGCCUACCCUGCGGACCUUCGCUACAACUUUGAUGUUUUCCAGAAGGUUUUCAUGGAACUGGAUGGAGCUAAACUCUCUAAGGUUCUUGCUUUAAAAAACCCAUCUGUUUCAUUGAGAAGUCAAAGACUGCACUUCUGCAAUUCUUUGCAGUUUUUCAUUUUGUGUUCAGUAACGUUAUACUGCUUAUGUUUUUAUUGCUUUCCCCUCAUGUGACUGCAAUGCAGGAUGAUUUUUCCUUUUGGUAUCGUGUUGUAAGAAAUUUUUACUGACGAUUUUUAGCAAUAUGUUCUAAAUCAACCUUAAUGUCCUGCUUACAUGUUUAAAAUGAAGAUUAAAAUUCAUGUAGGUGUUUGGUAUUAGUUGUGUAACAAUGUCAUUUAAGGCUCAACUUAGUUGAAAUCUUGUACAGGUAAAUACUUGUACAGAAGCUGAAACUGUUGUCAAA